rnacentral:rRNA from 1 species
AGAGUUUGAUCCUGGCUCAGGAUGAACGCUAGCGGCAGGCUUAACACAUGCAAGUCGAGGGGCAGCAUAAUGGAUAGCAAUAUCUAUGGUGGCGACCGGCGCACGGGUGCGUAACGCGUAUGCAACCUACCUUUAACAGGGGGAUAACACUGAGAAAUUGGUACUAAUACCCCAUAAUAUCAUAGAAGGCAUCUUUUAUGGUUGAAAAUUCCGAUGGUUAGAGAUGGGCAUGCGUUGUAUUAGCUAGUUGGUGGGGUAACGGCUCACCAAGGCGACGAUACAUAGGGGGACUGAGAGGUUAACCCCCCACACUGGUACUGAGACACGGACCAGACUCCUACGGGAGGCAGCAGUGAGGAAUAUUGGUCAAUGGACGCAAGUCUGAACCAGCCAUGCCGCGUGCAGGAAGACGGCUCUAUGAGUUGUAAACUGCUUUUGUACGAGGGUAAACUCACCUACGUGUAGGUGACUGAAAGUAUCGUACGAAUAAGGAUCGGCUAACUCCGUGCCAGCAGCCGCGGUAAUACGGAGGAUUCAAGCGUUAUCCGGAUUUAUUGGGUUUAAAGGGUGCGUAGGCGGUUUGAUAAGUUAGAGGUGAAAUUUCAGGGCUCAACCCUGAACGUGCCUCUAAUACUGUUGAGCUAGAGAGUAGUUGCGGUAGGCGGAAUGUAUGGUGUAGCGGUGAAAUGCUUAGAGAUCAUACAGAACACCGAUUGCGAAGGCAGCUUACCAAACUAUAUCUGACGUUGAGGCACGAAAGCGUGGGGAGCAAACAGGAUUAGAUACCCUGGUAGUCCACGCAGUAAACGAUGAUAACUCGUUGUCGGCGAUACACAGUCGGUGACUAAGCGAAAGCGAUAAGUUAUCCACCUGGGGAGUACGUUCGCAAGAAUGAAACUCAAAGGAAUUGACGGGGGCCCGCACAAGCGGAGGAACAUGUGGUUUAAUUCGAUGAUACGCGAGGA